UUUCUCUUUUCUCUUCCGUGAAAAAAGAAGAAAAUGAGCGCUACAAGGUUUAUAAAGUGCGUGACUGUGGGCGAUGGUGCCGUUGGUAAAACCUGUUUGCUGAUUUCUUAUACCAGCAACACUUUCCCUACGGAUUAUGUGCCAACUGUUUUCGGUAAUUUCAGCGCAAAUGUUGUUGUUAAUGGGAGUACUGUUAAUCUGGGGUCGAGGGAUACAGCAGGUACUUUGCUCAUAGACCUUUUUCAGUUCUUUUAAACUUUCAUUGUUAGAACCAUUGUAGAGAUUUUCUGUUUUAUUUGGUGAUUUUUAGUUUGUAAUUUUGGCAACAGGACAGUAGGAUUAUAACAGAUUAAGACCCUGGCGCAGAUGUGUUCAUAUUGGCAUUUUCCCUCGUUAGCAAGGCCAGUUACGAAAACCUUUCUAAAAAGGUUCGGUUGUGCAGUUCCGUAAAAUUUCAACCAAAGGGAAGUGCUUUGCACACUGGCUUUCAAUUUAUUGUUCACUUGCAAUUAUUUCCUUGGCUACACUUCAGUGGAUUCCAGGGUUGAAACAUUAUGCCCCUGAUGUUCCGCUUGUUCUUGUUGGAACCAAACUUGAUCUUCGGGACGAUAAGCAGUACCUUGAUGAUCAUCCUGGAGCUGUGCCCAUUUCUACAGCCCAGGGAGAGGAGCUGAGGAAGCAGAUUGAUGCACCUGCUUAUAUUGAAUGCAGUGCAAAGUCGCAGCAGAAUGUGAAGUCGGUUUUUGAUACAGCGAUCACAGUUCUUCAACCUCCCAAGCCGAAGAAAAAGAACAAAGCCUGCUCGAUAUUGUGAUCGGGAAAGGGAAACGUAAAAGGAAUAUGCCUUGCCCCAUCAUCCCGCUCUCUCCCCUUCUCUUUGCACUUGAAGGUACCGGAAGCCCUGGAUAUUAUAUUAGUCACCCAACUGACAGAUCAGGAUCUUAGUAACACAUCCGGUGGUUUGGUGGUAGGAUUGCUUUAUUGAAACUAGUUGAAACGAAGUACGUCAAUGCCAUCCUCCCUCCGCACUCUGUUUCGGAUACGAUUUUUGUAUUAAUGCCCCUCAAACAUUCUAGUUAGUAAAACUGCUCGGACAGUUAAAUUCAUUGCUUGUUAUUGGGUUUUAGAAAAGCAUUGGCAUGUUUGUUGGGUGGGGGGUUGUGCUUAGUUUCUUGCAAUGCAACAUGUUUGUUUCCAGUAGACCUGUGGGUCAACCACAUUAUAAU